rnacentral:lncRNA from 1 species
UGAUCUUUAUUUCAACAGUUUCCCAUGCCAUGUAGUCAUUCUUCAAAAACUGGCAUUGAACAGCUGCAUAAUAUUCCACUGCGGAGAAGUGCUCUUCGGUGUAGAGAACUGUGUUAUUUACAGUGAUGUUUGUGAUGAUUUGGACAUAUGCCCUUCUCUGGCACUGUGAUGACUACAUUGGUAGGCACCUCCAGUGGGGCAUUUAGGAGCCUUACUUGCCCAGGGACCCACUGAAGCAUCCAGGCCCUGUGUCCCUGGAAUAGAAUGCACGGGAGUCUCCACUGCUACGGCCUCUGCAGUGUGAGGUCAGGUGUCUCCUUCCUCCGCAGGCCAUGGAAGUUUCUAGACACACCAUGACCCCACGAGGGGAGGACGGGAAGCACGCGUGACCCUGCAAAUGUCUGCUGCCCGUGACCCCACGAGGGGAGGAGGGGAAGCACGCGUGACCCUGCAAAUGUCUGCUGCCCGUGACCCCACGAGGGGAGGACGGGAAGCACGCGUGACCCUGCAAAUGUCUGCUGCCCGUGACCCCACGAGGGGAGGACGGGAAGCACGCGUGACCCUGCAAAUGUCUGCUGCCCUCUCUGAGCCUUCGUUUCUGAGGGGCCUGGGGGGAGCCACGGCUGUGACUCGAUGCCCUGGAUGGGCAGCGCAGGGGUGGGGUGGAGUGGCCGCUCACUCGCUGGCUCACUCGGUGAGUGCACACGCUCUGCCCUGCUCAUAGCAGGCCCCAUCUAGGCACGUAAGGAGGUCAGGAUCCUGGCCUCAGGGCGCCGACUAAAAAUUUAGAGAGGGAGGCAGACAGUGAGCAGUGAGACAAUGACUGAAUGCAUGGCAAACCUGUGGUGCCAUGGAGAACAUCUGGGAGAGGGGGUGGAGACUGAUGGGAAGCGGGGUCCCAGAGGAGCCGGGCCGGAGAGGAGAUGUCUAAAUGGAAUGAAUACAGGGGGCAUGCCUUGUGUCUGCGGCCUGGAGGAGGAAGAGAGAGAAGACACAACAUGCCAGGAGCAGUAAGGGCACAGGCCCUGAGGCAGGCAGGUGGCCACGUGAAUCUGGAGCUGGGAGACGACACUGGCCUAGAGGUGAAAAGCAGAAGCUUUUCCCAGAGCUGGGAAUGGAAGAAGCUCCUCACCCCACUGUCAGAGCCAGGACUGACCCCUGGGCUCCAGCAAGAGCCUCUCAGGUCUGCACUGCCCCUGCCUUUUCCCUCACGCCUUCUCCCCUGCCCCCUGAGCUAUUUCCCUCUUGAAUCAAGAUCCGUCUUCCUAAACCACCCAUCUGACCAGGUUCCUCCCUGCCUAGCACCGUCCGUGGCUCCCUGUGGCCCCAGACUAGACUACAGGGCCUGCCGUUCCCCAGUUCCUGCUCUCAUCUCUCCUAGUCUCCCACCCAGUCCCUGGCCAAAGUGCCCAGAGCCCCCCAAAACACCCAGCUGCUUCCUGCCUCCAUGCUGUUUGUCCUGGAACCUCCCCCACAACCCCCACCUGGCCCUGAGUGUACCAUCUGUGGGACAAAACCUCAGUUUCUCAUCUGUAAAAUGGGAAAAGUCCUUACUGUACCUACCUCACUGGGUGCUGUGA